rnacentral:lncRNA from 1 species
GAACUAGUCACGUUAGGAAAACGAGAAAUAUGUUUCCUUAUUAGAAGAUUUCUUAGAGCACUCCCUCUGAGUUUUGAAUCCCUUGGAGGAGUUACAUCCAGUGGUUAUACAGUUCCUAAACAGUGGCAUGGUGGGAAGCUGGCUUUCAGACUUCCACAGAUUUGGCUAAUAAGGAGACAAUGGAUUUAAACCAUUUAUUAUUCCCAUGACUCCGAGCAACAUGAGCUCUAUGCUUUCUUGGGUCCCUCUUGCCUCCCAAGUUCCAUGAAGGCGGUGAAUGAUGGUCCAGCUAUCUGUGUUACAUCAGAGAAACACCAAGUUCAGGAAAUCCCCAGUCUUAUAAGAGAACUUCUAGUAAACCCAUCUUUCCUCCUUUAUAGAAAUGGACCUCACCAUCCAUCGACAGAUGAAUGGAUAAGGAAGAUGUGGUGUAAAUACAUUUUUUUUCUAUUACAUGCAUGUGUUUCUCCCCUCCAACUUCAACUGUUGCCAACCAAACAUCCUGGGAUCAUGACUCUGAUCUCCCAGAAUCCUUCUCAUGGAUGAGGUCCUGUUUCAUUCUUCAGAUCCCUAAGUAGUAACUUUUCUUUGCCGUUUUCUGAACCAACACACCUUCAGGUGUGUAAUACCUCUCUUCAGGUAGGUAAUACCUUUUUUACAUUCUUCCUCCUACCACAGGUUUCUUUCUUUCUGCUUUGCAUCUUUAGGGCCUAUUUUAACUCCUACUGCUUGGGAACUAUGCAAUAAAUAUUGACUUCAAUUGAUAUUACAAUGAGGAGAGAGGCCCAUAAAAGAAGUAAAGAAUACAGUCUGAAAAAUAAAAGAAAUAGUAAAGAAUGCAGGCUGUGACAACUCUCUGUUGUGGGAUGUAUUCCUUUCAGAGCUCUGGACACUCUGCUUUCCCCUGCCUCUGCUGCCUGUGCCUUGCAACCCCUUGUCUGACAACUGGUACUACUCACCCUGCAGUCUUGGCUCAGAAGGGAGGAGAUUCUAUCUCAGUAGAUUCCCCAACAUGCAUACACACACACACACACACACACACACACAGUUUUCCCCAAUCAGGACAUCUUGUUUGUUUUCUUCAUUGCACUUAAUACAAUCUUCCAUUUGUUUCCUUAUUUACUGUCUUUCUUUCAUUAGAUUGCAAAGAUCAAGAGGUCAAAAACCUAAUCCAUGGUAAUCACAAACAUGGUAACCUGUUUCCUAGUCCAGUGCUGGGUACCCAAAGGAGAGGGUUCAAUAAAUAUUUUUGGAAUGAAUGAAGGAAGGAAGGAGAAAAAAACAGAGUAUGUAUACCAAUAGAGAUUCAUUUUCCAGUCUUGCUAAAUAAAAUAUUUUGCCAAUAUGUUUAUAUAAACA